CCAAAGUGACUUUAUAGUGUUCUUUAAAAAGAAAAUUAGAAGUCUCAACAAGAAUAAUCCUAGUCCCUGGGACACAACAGAUAAUGAAGAAUAUGUUGAAGAAUAUUUUAUGUGCAAAUCUUUGGUGGGCUGUUAUCUGAGGCUUCACCACCAGCCACUAUGCUAGCCACAGGGACAGACAUGCGGCCUCACUGUUCCCAGAUCUA